rnacentral:lncRNA from 1 species
GGACCAAUGAUGAGUACCAUGGGGUAUCUGAAACAGGAUUUUUGAUUAAACCCAUAUGCAAUUCUGAGGUCCAUUACAAAGAGACAUGUAUUAUUCCUUUUUUGGGAAGUGAGCCUAUGGUACCUUUUCCUUGGACUUUGUGGUUCUUGGGGAUGGAUUGCAUUUUUGUUAUAAAAUCAGCCCAUGAAUUAAAAAUUUAUCAAUGAGUAAAACAAGAAGCAUAAGUCAUGUACUUAUUAUCAGUGAAUGUAAUGAAACAUGGAUUAUUAUUAAAACUUAUUUGAGACUCCCAAUAAAUUAAUACCCAAGGCUUCUGCCAUUCUGGUAAGGAGCAUAUGGUCAUUUGUAUGCAAGAGUCAAAGUUUUUGUUCUGAGUUAGUGGUGGGUUGCUGACUAUUUUAUUAAGAAAAUGAAGCAUCUUUAAUCAUGUAAAUAGUUGGUUAAAUAACCACUUAACUGAGACCAAGCAGAGACCAAUGAUGAGUGUAUUAAUCUAUUUUUUAAUGGAUUUUUAUUAAACAAAUAAAAAAAGAAAUAGUGUAUUCUUCCUGAGGGCAAUGACUCUAGACAGAUGUAAAUAUUCUUGUCCAGUGCUGUGAGAGCACAGAUAUACUGAGAUCUUUUGUAUAUGAGAAGGAAGGUGCACUUUUAUGUGUCAGUUUAUAUUUUAGAGUCAGCAAACCAUGGACCAAUUAGGAACAAAUGUUAUGAUAUGAGAACGCUGAUUCUUGUUUUUUUUUCAUGAUAGACAUUCUAAGAAAAACUCUAGGCUCUUUCAUUGUUUUUGGAAUACAUACAUGGUCCUUUCCAAGUAAUUUCUUAGAAAAAUGUUUUUAAAAAGACAUUUUUAAAAAGAGCCUUUUAAAAUGUUUUUAAAAUAAGGCUUUAUUUUUCUCUGUAGAAUGAAAACCAUGUAGCUGGUUUUAUUAUCCUCUAAUCAUGAAGACCAUUAUUGUUAUUUGCGGACUAAGGAGCAGAAAGACUGAUAGUGGACAUAGGCCAGCUGAUUUAAUAAUUUAAGAAAUAACUGUUAUCCUGAGUAAGGAGCAUAGAGACAAAUAUAAAAUGAACGCACUCUACCUGAUUUAAUUAUAGUCUUCUGGUGAAGAUCUUGCUGUUAUCUCUGUGAAUCAGGAGAGAAGAGAUCGAUAAAGAAUAGACGAGAUUGGAUUUGGUCAUUUUCCCAAGGUGAAGAGCAUGGUGAUUUCUUCUGUGGUAAGGAGCAAUAAUGAAGACCAUGGUUGGUUUAAUCAGUCUCUGCUGAUGAAGAUCUUGGCUGUUACCUUUGUGUAAUGAAUGCACAACGAUUCAAUUAUUCUCCAGCGAGGAAGAUCAUGGUUAUUGUCUGUUUGAGUAAUGAGUGUAGAAACCUACACUGGAAGCGUGAUGGCUGAUCCAAUCAUUUUCCACUGAUGAAGGUUUUGAUGGCUACCUAUAAUGAACAGCCCCAUCUGAUUUAAUCACUGUGCAAUGACUGUGAACUGUACGGUUACCUCCGUGUGUCACAGGAAGACUCUUUUGACUUAAGCACUCUUCCAUGGUCACGAGGUUUCUGUUUGCCUCUGUGUGGUAGAAGCUUGGAGACCAAUGCCUUCUGCUGUGAUCGCGUUCUCCACAGUUGCCUCUGGGUAGGAGCCCGGACACUAAUGGAAAAUGGAUGCACUUGAGCCGACCUAAGCAUUCAUGGUCAUGAGAUUUGUGGUUGCCACUGUUGGUUAGGAGCGUAGAGAUCAGUAAUGGACACACCUGGGCUGGCAGAACAUCUUUCCUUGAUCUGGAGCCCCAUGUCUGCCCCUCUGUAGAGGUGCACAUGGGCCAAUGAUGGAUGCAAUGAGCUGAUCAUUUUGCUGUGAUCAAGGCUAUGUUGCCUCUGUGUUAGGCCAAUUGUUGAUGUUCAUGGGUGAUUGAUCAUCCUGUAGUGACGGUGGUAUUGACUGUUCCCCAAAGGACAAGGAGUGUGUUCUUACCUACUCAGGAGGCUGAGGCAGGAGAAACGCUUGAACCCGAGAGGCGGAGGUUGCAGUGAGCUGAGAUUGUGCCGUUGCACUCCAGGCUGGGCAACAAGAGUGAAACUGCAUCUCAAAAGAAAAAAAUAAUAAUAAUAAAAUAAAACAAAAAAAGAAAAAACCAGUGUUCCAAUAUUUUCCCAAAUCAUGCUGAUGCUGCCUCCUGAGAAAUAUUUUCAGAAUCACUGAGAAAAAUAUAUGAAAUAGUUAAUGUCCUUGCUCUGUCAGUGAUGGAGGCUGUCUGCAUUAGGAGCAUGGAGACCAACAAUGGAUGCUCUUAAACUGAUUUAAACACGCUUCCAUGGUCACAAGCCUUAUGGUUGCCACGGGGCAUUAGGAGCAUGGAGACCAAUAAUGGAUGUCCUUGUUCUGAUUCGAGGAUGCCUCCAAGGUCGCAUACUCUGUUUGCACCAUGCUUAGGAAGGAGCGUGAAGACCAAGGGAAGAUGAUAAACACAGAUCAAGGAGGAUUGUUUCAUCUGUUUGUGAUCUGCUCUGCUCUGUGAGCCUCAGGAUGGAUGUUUGCCAGCCGGUUCCAUGGUUACAAGCUCUAUAGCUGCACCUAUGUGUUAGGAGCAUGAAGACCAAUAAUGGAUGCACUGAGCUGAUUAUGAAUUUAGCCCUGAUCAAGACUUGUGUUGCUGUCAUGAUAUGAAAGAUUCCAGUAAUGAAUGCACUUGAGUUGAUUGAAGCACGCUUCCAUGGUCAUGAGCUCUGUGGUUGCAUCUGUGUGAUAGGAGCAUGCAGACCAAUAGCGAUAAUCUCGAGGUGAUUUAUGCAUUCUUCCAUGGCCACCAGCCUUAUGGCUGCAUCUCCGCGUUAGAGCUUAGAGAUCAAUAAUGGAUGCAGUGAGCUGUUUCAACCAUUCUGUUGGGAUCAAGAUUGUUGUGUUGCCUCUGUGUUUGGAAAGAGGCCAAGAAUGGAUACGCUCAGGUGAUUUAAGCAGUCUUCCAUGGUCACGAGCUCUGUGGUUGCCUCUGUAUAUUAAGAGCACAGAGAUUAAAAAUGGGUGCACUUGAGCCAAUUGAAACAUUCCUCCUUGCAUCUUUGUUCUAUGAUUGCAUCUAUUUGUUAGUAGCAUAGAGACCAAUAAUAGAUGGCUUGUGCUGAUGGAAGGAUUCCUCCCUGGUGACAUGCUGUGUCUGCCUCUUGAUUGGGAGCACGCAGACAUACAAUGAUGCACUUUUUAUGAUUUGAGAAUUCCUCCAUGGUCACGUGCUCUGUUUUUAUCAUGGUUGGGAGCUUACAGACCAAUAAGGGACAUGCCUUUGCUGAUUUGAGGAUUCCUCUGAGGUCGGGAGCUAAGUUUGCACCAUGCUUAGAAAGGAGUGUGCAGACCUGUAAUGAUUGCACUUUGCUGAUUGAAGGAUUCCUUCAAGUCCAUGUGCUCCACUUGCACCAUUUUUAGGAUGGAGCCCGGAGACCUAUAAUGAGCAACUUGUGCUGUGUUAAGGAUUCCUCCAUGAUCACACGCCCCGUUUGUACACCAUGCGUGGGAAGACGCAUGCAGACCAAUGUUAGUAAUAGUCAAAAUUCCUGUGUCGGUUUGUGUGGUUUGCUAAAGAGGACUCAAUGUAUCAUGAAACAGUGUAUUAUAUAGUCAACAAUGGUCAACUAUGUCCCAGUGAUAUUUAUGAGAGGGAUCUGAAGUAAUUAUUGAUAAUGCCUAUACGAAAAAUGGAGAAGAAUUAAUGAAACAGAUGUAUCUGUGUUAGAAUGAUUCUGUAUAAAGAUAGGGAAUAUCAAGU